GCGCUGGACCUUACAGGGAAAGAUACAAAGUAUUUCGCCCCAAAAGGAUCCUGAUUGUUGAUGAAACAGAGUUUUUAUUCCAUGUUCUUCUGGGCUGGGCCUGCCCCAACAGAUUGUUCGUAAUUGGACAAUUUGAUAUUGAUGUCAGCUGCCAACCAAGAGCUGACAUCCAUAUCCAGGAUGUUUUGGAACACUAGUGAGUGUGUGUCGGUUUCUCCGGAACGUUUUACACUUUAGCAGAACAUCUUAUAACCUUGGUGUACUUCUCUCAGGAAAGGCCUAAUAUGCAGUUAAUACAAUUAUUCCAUAGUAGUAGUGCUAAUUAAAGUAUGUCCCUAACAACGCUCCUUCUCGGUGUUGCCAUGGAGCAUUGUUAGGGGGCGGCCAUGAUCAGAAGGCUGGACUCAGGCCGGACGCCGACUGGUCUAACCCGCUUAAUCACCGGGGGGGCAGCAGCUUCAGAGCCCGGCGGCCUCCGUGACGUGAAGCCCCCAACGACAGCGCGGCCGCUCCCCGUGCCGCGGGCUGCGCAGCCCAGCUGCGUCAGAAGGAGUCACGAGCCGGUGGCUCGGCCACUCGCCCCGCCGGGGAGCGACGGGCCGUGAUCGCAGAAACAGAUGGUGUGAUUAUGGUGACCGAGAGGUUUAGAGGUGGACAAUCUGCUUGUAGCUUCAUGUCUGACGUUUUGUUUGAGCUGGCUGGCUUAAGCUACAAGCGAGCAGACGCUGUUUGCUCACGUGACCAGGAUGGCAAAGCAUUCUGGGAACCGUAGUCAAGAUGACGACAUAAGAUCUCGCGGGAAUUGCAGCAUCUCGCGAGAUAUUACACCACCGCUGGCAGGGCUACAAAUCAGAGAAAUAAAUUCAUUUGUCGUUGUUUGGAUACUUUUGUGCCUCCACCAUGGGUGAAACGGAUGAAUAAGCGAAUCUGUUUUGACGACAACUUCAAUCAUGUUUCUGUCCUCACACUCCAGGGUCUCCCGCUGGCCGAGCGGCACUUCCCGCCGGCCCCAGUGGGGGCACUGGAGGACAGAACGUGCUUUGAUGGCAGCAACAGCUGGUGCGAUUAUUGUGUCUGGGAAUCAAGAAAUGGAGAAUGCGUCUGUAACUUCAUGGUUGCAUAUCUGCUUGAACUAGCGAGCUUGGCUAAAAACGAGCAGACUUUUUAUUUGCUGCUCGUCGUCAAUCCGCACAGAAUUAUGGGAACAGUAGUCAGAACACAGCCCCACUGCGCCAUUACCCGGCGCAUGCUCCUCAGAUGCGUGGCGUUGUGGAGCGGUGUUGUUACUGGGUCGGCACCGCACUCUGCAGGUGAAGGUAUCAGAGUGGAACCUUCCAGGCUGUUCGUAUUUGUCAUUAUUCGGACACUUUUGUGCUUUUAUCGUGGGUAAAAUGCACGGCCAGCGCUAACUACUAUGGUAUAUCAAAAUGUAAUUGAACUGCAGACCAAGUUCUUUGAAACAGCAGCGGUGACUACAAUACCCAUAAACCCCAGCGACUGGGAACAAGUUUGCGCUUCAAUCUGUGAUACUGUCAUUGCGAUCAGUCUGCUCUCCAGGUAAGAUAUUAAUUUAUUAUGUGUUUCCCAUUUCACUUGAAUGUCGAAAAACUCAACCUUUUGUCUGUAUUUGCUUGAAAAGUUUGCAAAUCCGAGUCUUCAUUUGAAGUCAGCAUGAUGUUUUCCCACCAUCAACUGCCAAAAAAAAAGGUUUAAAAUGAAGCUAGCUUAUGUAGUCGUCAUUAAAAAGUGGUGGGGCUGUUAGCAUAUCCUGGAAGUGCUUGCAAGACCUUUCAUUGCCAUAACUGUGGUUUUGAUAUACCGUAUUGUCAAAUAAUGAAAUGUAAUUCACGAUGAACUUGAAUUGGCUCUGCUCCCCACCCUCAAAAAAAGGAAUGGUUGAGUAUUUUUAGUAUCAGUAUAUAUGUAUGUAAAAUAUGUCAGGAAAUCACAUUUCACAACAAUUAACUCUGUCUGUUCUGUCUACAGCUCCUGUUCUGCACAUCUUCAGCUACCUUCACCUACAUCAGAGGAAUUAAUUCAUCCCACAAAACAAAGGCACUUUUAAGAGCCACCCUCUCCUUUUACUUUAUUUCUCUAUUGCCUGUCUGUGUGUCUUUCUCUCAAUCUCUCUGUUUUCUCUUUCUAUCUGCAUUCUAUCUUCAUUCACCAAAACAAAGUCACAUCGUUUUUCCCAUCAGAGCAAGAUACUGAGAGUAACUUCUGUGUUUUAUGACGAUAUGACUUUCACCAGCCACAAUUUACCUGCCAAACAUGCCAGCAGCAGUAGGCCCCUGGCUUUAAGGGCCUUCUCAGGAGUGGGUAUUGGCCAGCCUCUGUGAACAGCACCACACUUUAUUCACUGGAUGUCCUCAACUCCUUCCAGGAACUGAAGGUCAUCUCUCCAGGAUUCUCCAGACAGGCCUUUGCAAAUCUGCUGGAGUAUCGUACUAAGUGUGGAGGAAGAUCUGGACAAAUCAAUGGUGAUGUGCUGCAGCGCAGCUUCUUAGAGUUUUCGUACGCUUCAUUUGAGGAAGAACAGCUCUGCUGUGGUGAUCUUUUCACCUGCCCAGCCUGCACCCCAAAAAUGUUGGCUGUUUCAGCAGAUGGAAACAGAAAGCUAUACCACUUUCGCCGGAACACAAGUUCUGAUGAACCUGCCUUUUUUGAGGGACUCUUUGUGGCUGAAGACAGCUCAGUGUCACUUUUUGUUGACACCAUUCAGAAAGCAGUAAUAAAAACACAUGGAAGAGGCACAUGUGGAGACUCCCAAUGGACAGCAGCGAGGGAGACUUCCAGAAGGGCUUCCAAAUUAGAUGAAGAAGGGAUGGAGGUUGCAGUAUGUCACCAUGGAAUCCUAUUGAAGGCCCUCAAUAUGUACAGGGGAGAGAUAUUUGCCUACCCGCUGUAUCUACAGAAAGAGCUCAUGCCAGCCAAGGCAGAGUUCUUUGCUAUGGAUGUAGCUUGCAAAUACUGGCCAUACCUGGAGAAAGCUACCAGUGUCCUUCCUGCUCUCCAGGAGCUGACCACGCAGAAGCCCUUUCUGAGUGUCAUGCAUGCCCGAGCUCAUGCUACAAAGUGUGAGGUUAAAUGGAGUGGUAGAAACCAGGAAGGAGCCGGGACAACUGCUGGUGAAGAGGUGGAACAAGUGAACAGCUACCUCUCUCGUUGUGCCCUGACAACAAAAUACAUGUCAAAAGCCGCACGGGUGGGUAUGCUGACAUUGCAUGCAAUGGGAUGGAACCGCAAAAAAAUGUUCUCCCCUCAUCAGGCACUUUCCACACGAUAUGUAAAGACAUGCCAGAGGCUCUGCGAUGAGACUUCCAGACUCGCAGAAAUGAAGACAGAGCUGCAUUGCUCAGAUGAAUUGGUGUCACAGUGACUGUCUGAUGUGAAGGCAACUGCUGGAACAUCAGAGACCAUCCAAGGCACCACAUGCACAGGACUACAGCAGUCCAUUGAGGGCCUUUACCUGAUUGUGAGAAAGCGGAAACAAACCCUGUACCGUCAGACUGACAGCAGCAAGCUUCGCCACCGCUCCGUAGGAAAAUGGCACAAGACAAAACACUACUUCUUCAGCAGAUCCACAAGUACAACACACUUGCUGUGGACUCCACUUUAAAGGUGGAUGCAGCUGUGGUGGAGCAGUCCCUCGCUGCAGAGAGACAUGGCCAUGGGAGCUUCAUGGCAGUGGGUGUACCGUCCUUCAGUUUUAAUUCCUAGUCGGACAUGUUUCACGGACGGAACAGUCGCGCAGGUUGGCUUCUCUUCAAAACUUGAUCAGAGCUUCGUCUCAAACAUUGCCAUGAAGAAACAGAUCCAUGACCAGGUGAUGUUAACAGUGAGACUUCAGGAAGAAAAAAGUCUUCUGGUGUUAGAAAUGGCACAGCACUGCACAUGGCUGCAGAACCUGGUGGCGGUCCUCAAGAAAAAGUUGGCUGACGAAGACAGUGGCAAUGAAGGACUUUGCUGUCUUCUAACAAGAAGAGCUUCAGAAAUGGAAGGACUGUUGCAGAUGGUGCACCAACAGUUCCAGACUGCUUUAGGUCCUCAGGCGACUGUCCUUCUGCAUGUUGAAGACGAGGUCCAGAAUGAACCCAGCAUUCCAGACACCAGUGAAGAUGAUGAAGAAGAAGAAAACACAUCCUAGGAAAUAUGGAAGACGCACAGUGGAUUGGGGUGAAGGAAAUGGACUUGUACGCCUCUGUAUCUGUGUAUUAACAUCCUACCUCCAUCUUUUCCGUUUUUAUGCCGGCUUAUCUGUGUAGGCUUUCAGGAGCCUGUCCCAGCUGACAGUUGAGCGUGAGGCAGGAUCUAAUCUGGAUAGAUCAUCAGUCCAGCACAGGACCGACACAGAGGGACAGACAAACCACCCUCUGUCACAUACACUUAUAUGGACAAUUUAACUUACUCCAUUAGCCUAGCAGGCAGUCUUGUGUUUGGGAGCCAAGUGAAGUACCUGGAGAGGACCUGAGCAGGCACAGGGAGAACAUGCAAACUCCACUGCACCACUAUGCAGCCCUGUUGUGUAAUAAACGUGGAUUCAAUUUGAAUGUUACCACAUUCUAAAUCUGUUCCGUGUCUUGAGAAAUGGUCUUGCCCUUUCAGUAGUGUGGCUGACCAACAUUCUUCUUUGUGGCUACAUGUUACGUGACUAAUUAAUAGUUGUGAACUAAUCCAGCUUUUGUGUGUUUUAGUUGACAGCUCAAUUUCAGUAGUAAAGCAUGGAUAUGUGUGUGUCUUUGUCAUCCCUUUGCAUAUAGCUGUGUGAGAACUCCUGGGCAAGUGCUUUUAUUUAAUGAAAGCAUUAGUCAUAGUUCAGAGUGGCUGGAUAUUGAUGAACAAAAAGAACUUUGGUGUGUAGAGGAUACAUCACAGUUAGUGUCAAACAGUCUGCUCUGGGGACAUCAGAUCAGUUUUCUUUCUUAUGGUUGGCAAGAAAAAGGUCACCUGGAUAGCAAUACCAUGUGUUUGUAAGCAAGGAAGAAGACAUGUCAAGCUGUAAAAUCCCACCUCUUUGAACAUUUGCACAACUGUUUUAUGAAGUGGAAAAUGUAUUGUGGCAGUAUGUAACAAAAUUCGAAGAACUACUUCCAUUUUUCCUUAAUUUGAAAUGUUUUUCUUUUUUUCACUAUCAUCUGGUUUCUUGAAAACCUAGGUUAGCUCAGGUGUCUUUUGACUUUGUGCCCUUCAGGUAGACAAUAUGUUUAAUGUCUUCUUGUAAAUGAAAUCUAGUCAGUACUUGUGUGAUGGGGAACACAUGUAAAGGGAAUAAUUAUUAUCAUAAAAUGUUAUUACUGUAUUUUGUAUGGUACAGUGUGAAAGUGAAGCAAUUACAUUCUGCUGAAGACC